GAUGAACGCUGGCGGCGUGCCUAAUACAUGCAAGUCGAACGGACAGACGCGGAGUUUGCUGCGUUGUCGUUUGGCGAGCGGGUGUGUAUCACGUGUGUAAACCCCCCCUAACUUAGUGAGAAAACUUCGAGAAUGCGGCUCUUACACGAUAGAACCUCUUGAUCCGCAGUGUGCAACAGAGAAUUUCGGUGUUUGUGGCACUUAUAGCUGGUUCUGAGCUGUAUGGGCUAGUUGGUAAGGUAACGGCUUACGAAGGGGACGAUGCGUAGCCGAAGUGAGAGGGUGAUCGGCGACACUGGAGCGGGGACGCGGUCCAGAGUCCUACGGUAGGCAGCAGUAGGGAAUGGGCGGCAAUGGGCGGAAGCCUGACGGAGCAACGCCACGUGAGUGAUGAAGGUCUUCGGAGCGGAAAACUCUGUUAUUAGGGAAAAACAAAUGUGUAAGUAACUAAGCACUUCGUGACGGUACCUAGUCAAAAAGCCCCGGCUAACUACGUG
rnacentral:rRNA from 1 species